UUGAGGAAAGAAAACAGGUAUUGCAAAGAGAUUUUGAUCCCAUGAUUUUGAAUUUUCUUUCUUUUUUUGUUUAUUUGUUGAUGAUGAUAUUUGAUAAUAGCGUUUAUGCUAACAGUGUUUUUAUAGUUUGAAAAACGGCGGUGGGAACCACCGAUGGGGGCGGCGCGCGAAAGCGUGUUAAUAAACAGCGCAGAUACAAGUUGGUUGCGCGUUUUUCAAGGUGGAUCCCCAAAAACUCAACGCUCAUCACGUUUUGAUAGCGACGUAUCGGAUAUUCUAAUUUAGACAAUUAAAUUUAAACAUGUCUCCAAAUAUUAGGUUUUCUGGAUAACAAAUUACGCAGUUUUAAAAUGUGUCUUAAAUAUUUAACCUUCGACUUGAUUUUUAUAGAUUUAAUGAUAAAUUUAUUUAUUAGAAUUUACGUA
rnacentral:lncRNA from 1 species